CAAGAUUUAACAUAAUAUAAAUGUAUCUCACUUACAUUGAGAAAAUAAUUGAUUUAAUUAUUCUUGU
rnacentral:tRNA from 1 species